CAACGCCGCGUGGAGGAUGAAGUCCCUUGGGACGUAAACUCCUUUCGAUCGGGACGAUAAUGACGGUACCGAGAGAAGAAGCCCCGGCUAACUUCGUGC
rnacentral:rRNA from 1 species